AGAGUUUGAUCAUGGCUCAGAUUGAACGCUGGCGGUAUGCUUAACACAUGCAAGUCGAACGGAAACGAUACUAGCUUGCUAGUAGGCGUCGAGUGGCGGACGGGUGAGUAACGCGUAGGAAUCUACCUAAUAGUGGGGGAUAGCCCGGAGAAAUCCGGAUUAAUACCGCAUAAUCUCUAUGGAGUAAAGGGGCCCUCUUCUUGAAAGGUUUCGCUAUCAGAUGAGCCUGCGUAAGAUUAGCUAGUCGGUGAGGUAAAAGCUCACCAAGGCGACGAUCUUUAGCUGGUCUGAGAGGAUGAUCAGCCACACUGGGACUGAGACACGGCCCAGACUCCUACGGGAGGCAGCAGUGGGGAAUAUUGGACAAUGGGGGCAACCCUGAUCCAGCAAUACCGCGUGUGUGAAGAAGGCCUGAGGGUUGUAAAGCA
rnacentral:rRNA from 1 species